CCUACGGGGGGCUGCAGUGGGGAAUAUUGGACAAUGGGCGAAAGCCUGAUCCAGCCAUGCCGCGUGUGUGAAGAAGGCCUUCGGGUUGUAAAGCACUUUCAGUGGGGAAGAAAGCCUUGGGGCUAAUACCCUCGAGGAAGGACAUCACCCACAGAAGAAGCACCGGCUAACUCCGUGCCAGCAGCCGCGGUAAUACGGAGGGUGCGAGCGUUAAUCGGAAUUACUGGGCGUAAAGCGCGCGUAGGCGGUCUGAUAAGCCGGUUGUGAAAGCCCCGGGCUCAACCUGGGAACGGCAUCCGGAACUGUCAGGCUAGAGUGCAGGAGAGGAAGGAAGAAUCCCCGGUGUAGAGGUGAAAUGCGUAGAGAUCGGAAGGAAUACCAGUGGCGAAGGCGGCCUUCUGGACUGACACUGACGCUGAGGUGCGAAAGCGUGGGUAGCAAACAGGAUUAGAUACCCCGGAGUC
rnacentral:rRNA from 1 species